rnacentral:rRNA from 1 species
AUACGGAGGGUGCAAGCGUUGUUCGGAAUCACUGGGCGUAAAGGGCGCGCAGGCGGUUUGGUAAGUCAGAUGUGAAAGCCCACGGCUCCACCGUGGAAGUGCAUUUGAAACUGUCAGACUUGAGUACUAGAGGGGAAAGUGGAAUUCCCGGUGUAGAGGUGAAAUUCGUAGAUAUCGGGAGGAAUACCGGUGGCGAAGGCGACUUUCUGGCUAGAUACUGACGCUGAGGCGCGAAAGCGUGGGGAGCAAACAGGAUUAGAAACCCUUGUAGUCC